rnacentral:rRNA from 1 species
CGCGUAGGAAUCUACCUAUUGGCGGGGAGUAGCCCGGACGGAAAUACCGGACGUUAAUUAACCGCCAUAAAGACCCUACCGGGGGAAAGGGACGGGGGACCGGACCUUGUGGCCUCGCACCGAUAGAUGAGCCUGCGUUAGAUUAGCUAGUUGGUGGGGUAAGUGGCCCACCAAGGCGACGAUCUAUAGCUGGUCUGAGAGGAUGAUCAGCCACACUGGGACUGAGACACGGCCCAGACUCCUACGGGAGGCAGCAGUGGGAAGUAUUGGACAAUGGGCGCAAGCCUGAUCCAGCAAUAA